rnacentral:rRNA from 1 species
AGUGAAUGCUGGCGGCGUGCCUAACACAUGCAAGUCGAACGGAGUGGCGCACGGGUGGGUAAUGUAUAGCUAAUCUGCCUUCCACUAGAGGACAACAGUUGGAAACGACUGCUAAUACUCUCUAGUGGAGGAUGAUGUUAUAUUGUAUCAGCUAGUUGGUGAGGUAAUGGCUCACCAAGGGUAUGACGCAUAACUGGUUUGAGAGGAUGAUCAGUCACACUGGAACUGAGACACGGUCCGGACUCCUACGAGAGGCAGCAGUAGGGAAUAUUGCUCAAGGGGGGAGAGCCAGAAGCAGCAACGCCGCGUAGAGGAUGACAAGUUUCGGAGCGUAAACUCCUUUUGUUAGGGAAGCGGUACCUAACGAAUAAGCACCGGCUAACUCCGUGCCAGCAGCCGCGGUAAUUC